rnacentral:rRNA from 1 species
AGUGAACGCUGGCGGUAGGCCUAACACAUGCGAGUCGAACGGCAGCACAGUAAGAGCUUGCUCUUACGGGUGGCGAGUGGCGGACGGGUGAGGAAUACAUCGGAAUCUACUUUUUCGUGGGGGAUAACGUAGGGAAACUUACGCUAAUACCGCAUACGACCUACGGGUGAAAGCAGGGGAUCUUCGGACCUUGCGCGAUUGAAUGAGCCGAUGUCGGAUUAGCUAGUUGGCGUGGUAAAGGCCCACCAAGGCGACGAUCCGUAGCUGGUCUGAGAGGAUGAUCAGCCACACUGGAACUGAGACACGGUCCAGACUCCUACGGGAGGCAGCAGUGGGGAAUAUUGGGCAAUGGGCGCAAGCCUGAUCCAGCCAUACCGCGUGGGUGAAGAAGGCCUUCGGGUUGUAAAGCCCUUUUGUUGGGAAAGAAAAGCAGCAGGUUAAUACCCCGCUGUUCUGACGGUACCCAAAGAAUAAGCACCGGCUAACUUCGUG